rnacentral:rRNA from 1 species
CCGGCGACCGGCGCACGGGUGAGUAACGCGUAUGCAACCUGCCCGUUUCAGCGGGAUAACCCGGAGAAAUCCGGCCUAAUACCGCAUGUGGCCGAGGGGAGGCAUCUUCUUUCGGCCAAAGGAGGCAACCCCGGAGACGGAUGGGCAUGCGUGACAUUAGCUUGUUGGCGGGGUAACGGCCCACCAAGGCGACGAUGUCUAGGGGUUCUGAGAGGAAGGUCCCCCACACUGGUACUGAGACACGGACCAGACUCCUACGGAAGGCAGCAG